rnacentral:rRNA from 1 species
UACAGAGGUCUCAAGCGUUGUUCGGAUUCAUUGGGCGUAAAGGGUGCGUAGGCGGCGCGGUAAGUCGGGUGUGAAAGCCCCGGGCUCAACCCGGGAAGUGCACUCGAAACUGCGUGGCUUGAGUAUCGGAGAGGUUGGUGGAAUUCUCGGUGUAGAGGUGAAAUUCGUAGAUAUCGAGAGGAACACCGGUGGCGAAGGCGGCCAACUGGACGAAUCCUGACGCUGAGACACGAAAGCGUGGGGAGCAAACAGG